GUUUCCGUGAGGAAGGGUCUGGAAAAGCCGGUGAGCAAAGCUAUAAGCCGACGGAUAGAAAUAGCAUCAAGGGCAAGUUC
rfam:Desulfobacterales bacterium C00003106 5579_contig_11163.2, whole genome shotgun sequence.